rnacentral:lncRNA from 1 species
GCAAAACCAAGGCAUUUCUGCGUGAGUGUAUUUUUUUUUCUCAUCUUGAGGUGAGAUAUCCUUAAAACUCUGGUACCUUCUGGCUUACUAGUUGGCUUUCCCUAAAGCACACCAACUAUGAUGAAGCCUACCUGGGUCCUGGGUGGCUGGACUGAAAAAAGGGGGGAGUUGUGAAACGAGGCAAGGGUAUGAGCAAGUCUCUGAUGACUAAGACAGAGCCCAUGUGGGAGGUGAUUCAGAGAUAAUGUACCUCCUGUUACAGCUUGAGUUGUUUGCAACCCCCCCCCCCCACGCUUUUCAGCAAACAUUAUUUUGAAUGUCAGAGUGCAUACAGUUGUUCUCUGGGGUUGGGCUAAAUUUGACUCUGUGGGAGAAUCAACCUAGACUUCCAAAUGUGGUCAUCUCAGCACUGUGUGGUGCAAGACCAGUUUUCCACUCCUGCCCAGAGUAUUUGUGUGGAUCUCACCCAGAAAUGAGAGAUGCUAGAUGCCAUUCUAAGGCAACCCAAAAUGUUAAUUUAAGAAGGAUCUUGAGACAAUGGCAGACGACAAGUGACCUGAUUUCAGGGGAGAUCUAAGCCAGGAUGACCAAAGAGAAGGACAGAAGUCAGGAGGAUCCCCCAGUCCUCCUCAGGGGCACAGUGGAAGAUGAUGUUCUUAAUGCAAAGCCUGUUGGUCACAUGAAGUCUCUCUUGGAAUGAUCCUCUGGGUGAAGCCUCUGUAUGUGAUUCUGGCCACUCUUUCAGUUUGAAGAGAACUCAUCAUGUAUUUACCAGGCAAGUGUUAUGUCAGGUAUCAUGUGACUAUGGAGACAGAAGGUGGUGAAAGUCUCUGUUCUUGUACAUUUUUUUUUUUCCUAAAGGGAAAAAGCUUGAACAUAAAUCUUGACCUUAUUGGUUUCUAGCAUGUUAUAUUAGUCUACUGAAAACAACAACAACAGCGAUAACAAUGGCAACCUAAAACCUAUAACAAAAUGCUUGAGGCAGACUAAAUCUAUAAAGACAAUAGGUUUAUUUAGCUAAAAGUUCUGAAAGUGGAAGAUCCAGGGGCCAGCUCUGGAAGUGGUCCUCAUUGUUGGCAGAGUCCUCAGGUGGUGAGAAAUACGGAGCAUCUGUGAUUGGUUUCUGUCUGUUUCUGUCAUUUUAUAAAGCAAGCAGGAUUUAAUCAUGGGGGCUGAACUCUAGUGACCUUGAUUAAACAUAAUCCCUUUCAAAGGCCUGGCUUCUAAACACCGGGCUGGGUUAAGUAACCACUCUGUUAAUACCAAGAACAUGUGACUUAGGGAUUAAACUCUUGCAGAACAAUGAUUGCAACUAGAGAUUGUUAUGUUAAGCAAAAUAGGCUUCACUCAGAAUGACAAAUAUCACAUUUUCUUUCAUAUGUGGAUUCUAGAAGUGUGUGUGUGUGUGUGUGUGUGUGUGUGUGUGUGUGUGUGUUGAAACUAGAAAGGGGACCUUGAGAGAAAGGAAGACAGGUUAAGGGAGGGGUGAGUGAGAGAAAAGCAGGAGUAUAAUGGAAUACACGUGACAUGAAAGCAGGGAAGAGACUACCUGUGGAGAGACAGGAGACCAGUGAGAG